rnacentral:tRNA from 1 species
GGGCCCGUAGCUUAGCUUGGUGGAGCGCCCGGCUGAUAACCGGGAGGUCGCGGGUUCAAGUCCCGCCGGGCCCA